UACGAAGGGGGCUAGCGUUGCUCGGAAUCACUGGGCGUAAAGGGUGCGUAGGCGGGUCUUUAAGUCAGGGGUGAAAUCCUGGAGCUCAACUCCAGAACUGCCUUUGAUACUGAGGAUCUUGAGUACGGGAGAGGUGAGUGGAACUGCGAGUGUAGAGGUGAAAUUCGUAGGUAUUCGCAAGAACACCAGUGGCGAAGGCGGCUCACUGGCCCGUAACUGACGCUGAGGCACGAAAGCGUGGGGAGCAAACAGG
rnacentral:rRNA from 1 species